rnacentral:tRNA from 1 species
CUGUUCCUCAGUAGCUCAGUGGUAGAGUGGUCGGCUGUUAGCCAAUUGGUUGUAGGUUCGAAUCCUACUUGGGGAGA